GCAACCGAGAGGGGGUGAGGGGGUUGUUCCGUUAUACGGUGUUUACAGAGAUGGGAUGCAUGAAGUGUAUUUAAUCUGCUUUUAAAUGAGUCUGGAGUCCAGCUCCGGGCCAGACAGACAGGAGUGAUGGCUCCUACCCACAGUUCUAUGACCCCGAUGUGCACACGGCCCUAAAGGAAGCCGCACCCUCAGGUUAUGAGUGAUACUUCAGGAGGAAGGAAGCGAGCGCGACCCAAAAGAAGAAGCGGCCACUCCUGUUCUCUCUGUGGGCGACGUGCAACAGGAACAGGAAGUGCUGAGGUGCAAUACGUCAUGAGGGCAAUUCUACUUUUGACCUUUUCAAGGCACACGUCGCCCCGCACAACAUUGUCUUGCAUUAAACUGGAGGGUUUCUGCGUC